rnacentral:tRNA from 1 species
GGCUUCGUAGUUCAAUGGAUAGAAUAGUGGUUUCCGGAGCCUCUGAUGUAGGUUCGAUUCCUACCGAAGCUA